rnacentral:lncRNA from 1 species
CUUCAGCCGGUCGCGCCAGGCGGGGCAAGGCGCGGCGCCCCCGCCCAGCGCACGGUCCGCUAGGGGCAGCGCCCUGGCCCAGGGCAGCCCGCCGCCGGCCCAAUACCCACUUGCCUCGCGCGACACGAGGGUAGAGCCCAGCUGUCGUCUGCUCGGGGUCACGGCCUGGGACUGGCGGCUCCUCUGGAGAACCCGCCUGACGCUGCAGGGCGAGGGGCUCAAGGACGCCCCGCGCGGAUGGGGCAAGAGCUGGCGGGGCCGCCUGAGCACCUUGGUCCCCGCAAGACUGCGAGGCGAGCCAUCUGAGCUGGAGAUGGGGACCCUCCCGCCACCAGGCGCAGGAGCGCGUGGACGCAGAGGAAGGGGCGCCGGGGUCCGACCCCGAGGGAUGGGGCGGGGCGCACAAUCCCGGAACCCCUCAGCCUGUCCGGGACCUGCCCACCCUCUGGCGACCAAGGAUCGCCAAGCAGUGGGAAGGUGGCUGUGGUACGCGGGGCCGUCGGGCCGGGAGGGACCCGGCGCAGCUGUGCUGCCACCAUGUGGCCGUGACCCGCACUGCACCCAGACCCACAGGGAAAAGGACCCCUCUGCGCGCACCCAGCCUGCCCCCCGAACUGUGGACCGGAGUCUCGGGCCAACGCCCACACCACCCUCACGGGCCUGGAGCUGCUCACAGCUGAGCUGGACCCCGGCCGCCUCCGCUGGGAGGUGAGUCGGACAGACGCAGGGAUUUGGCUGGAGCGCUGCGAGCACCGAGGAGCAGGGGCGGGUGUGGUGGAGCGCGGGUUACGUGGGUCGGGCAGCCCCGCAGGUGACCAGCCUGCGCUAGGGCUAGGGCCACACCCUUCCGGCAGGGCCAGAGGGCUCGUUCACGGAUAGCGGCGGCCAAGACCAGCGAGACCAGCUCUGUGCGGCACUCGGACGCUGCCGUGGGAGCUGGCAGUGUCCUGUGUCAAAGGAGUCCAGAGGGAAAACCGGAAAGCACAUGCCACAGGGCCAAACCGCGUGACGACAGGGCCAAGCAGGUCUGGACACUGCCCCUUUGUGGGGCAUGGAGUGGGCAAAUGGACCAAAACUGGGGACACUUGGUGGAAGGGAUGCUGUACUUAGAGGUCCUCUCAGCCCAGGCGAAUCAACAGAUGGGCAGUGACAGGUGCCCAGCAGAUUUCAAAGGAGGCAGCAGGUGUGCGGAGCCAAAGAACCCAAGCCAGGCCUGGAGAAGGUGGCCAGGGUGUGUGUUUGCCUGAUCAGAUGGGGGGGAGGACGUUCUAGGGCCCAGGGUGCCAGAGAUGGACAGUGAGCAGGGCAGUGUUUAUCGCAGCCCUGGGACAUGCCACCGUGUGUCACACUUCAGAUGGGAAGAGGACACAGACCACAUCCCUCAGGACCCCAGGGACAAGUUGCAGGAUGCUACCAGGUCACCCAUGGAGCCUGGAACUCAGUGGGCUAGGGAGAUUCCCAUGUCCCAUGGUGGCUGGUACUGCCAUCUCAACACCAGCCCCACUCCAUUCUGGUGGAUAUGGCCGUGCCAGGUGUGCAAGAAAAGAGCUCUUUGUUCAAAGUCUUGCCUGGUGAGGGACAGAGCUAGGAGACCUGUUUAUAACUAGUGUAUGUCCUCCAGUUAUAAGACCCACAGGUCUGUGAAAUCCCUCACUGGGUACCCGGUGCCAUCUCUUAGCACGUGGGGAAGAAUCCCCACAGGAACCAAACCCAAAGCAUUCCAUAAACUUUCCAAAAGGAUAAGACAAAGUUCAAAAGUAGCAGUAUCUUCAGAAGAAGAUAUACAAGUGACCAACAAAAAUAUAAAAAAGUGUUCAACAUCUUUAGUAAUUAGAAAAAUGCAAAUCAAAACUACUGUAGGAUUUCAUCUCACCCCAGUCAGAAUGGCAGUUAUCAAGAAUACAAGCAAUAACAAGUUUUGGAGAAGAUUUUGGGGAAAAGCUGCACCAUAUAUUCCUGGUGGGAUUGAAACUUGGUGCAACCACUUCGGAAAACAAUGUGGAUGUACCUCAAAAAAACUUGAAAUGGAACCACCAUUUGAUCUGGCUCUCUCAUUCCUUGGUCUGUACUCAAAGGACUUAAAAAUCAGCAUACUAUAGUUAUAGCCACACCAAUUUUUAUAGCAGCUGAAUUCACAACAGCUAAACUGUGGAACCAACCUAGUUGCCCACCAAUAGAUAAAUGGAUAAAGAAAAUGUUAUUUAUAUACAGAAUGAAAUAUUACUCAGCAUAAAAGAAAAUAAAAUCAUGGCAUUUGCAGGUAAAUGGAUGGAAUUAGAGAAUAUCAUGUUAAGCAAAAUAAGACAACCCUAAAAAUCUAAAGGCGAAAUGUUUUCUCUGAUUAGUGGAUGAUGAUCUAUGAUAGAGGGGCAUGGGAAGAAUGGAGGAACUCUGGAUUGGGCAAAGGGGAGGGUUUAUGGGGGUAGGAAAGAUGGUGGAAUGAGGUGGACAUCAUUACCCAAGGUACAUGUAUGAUUGCAUGAAUAGUGUGUUUCAAAUCAUGAAUUGAAAUGUUGCACUCCAUUUUGUGUAUGAUGAAUUGAAAAGCACUCUGUUGUCAUGUACAACUAGAGAGAACAAAUAAAGAAUAAGAUUGGAAACAAGAAAAGGUAACAAUUCCAACACCACAUUGUAAAUGUACCUAAGUUACACAUUUGAAAUGGUCACUUGUAUGCGAAUUUAACCUCAAAUAAAAUCUCUUU